UAAUACCGGAUAGAUCAAAGAUACUGGAAUGUUCUCUGGUCCAAAACUCCGGUGCCCAAGGAUGGGUCUGCGGCCUAUCAGGUUGUAGUGGGUGUAACGUACCUACUAGCCUACGACGGGUAAGGGUUGUGAGAGCAAGAUCCCUGAGAUGGAUUCUGAGACAUGAAUCCAGGCCCUACGGGGUGCAGCAGGCGCGAAACCUUUACACUGCGGGAAACCGCGAUAAGGGGACCCCGAGUGCCAGCACCUAGUGCUGGCUGUCCAGCUGUCCAAAUAACAGUUGUUAGCAAGGGCCGGGCAAGACCGGUGCCAGCCGCCGCGGUAACACCGGCGGCCCGAGUGGUAGCCGCUAUUAUUGGGUUUAAAGGGCCCGUAGCCGGCCUAUUAAGUCUCUUGGGAAAUCUGGCGGCUCAAUCGUCAGGCGUUC
rnacentral:rRNA from 1 species